rnacentral:rRNA from 1 species
GUCAACGACCAUACCAUGUACAGAUAACCCGGUCUCGUCAGCUCCCGGUCGUUAAGCUUCGUUGGGUCCCGUUGAUACAUAGAAGAGUGACCACUUUGGAAUACGGGAUGCUGUUGGCA